rnacentral:tRNA from 1 species
AGCUCAGCUGGUCAGAGCAUGGUGCUAAUAACACCAAGGCUGUGGGUUCAAUCCCUGU